CAUGAAGUGAGCUUCCGCAAGGACACUCGUAGAGGUGCUGCAUGGCUGUCGUCAGCUCGUGUCGUGAGAUGUUGGGUUAAGUCCCGCAACGAGCGCAACCCUUGUCUUCUGUUGCCAUCAGGUUAUGCUGGGCACUCUGGAGAGACUGCCGGUGAUAAACCGGAGGAAGGUGGGGAUGACGUCAAGUCAGCAUGGCCUUUAUGUCUGGGGCUACACACGUGCUACAAUGGCCGGCACAAACCGUCGCGAGCCCGCAAGGGGGAGCUAAUCGGAGAAAGUCGGUCUCAGUUCGGAUCGUCGGCUGCAACUCGCCGGCGUGAAGUUGGAAUCGCUAGUAAUCGCGGAUCAGCACGCCGCGGUGAAUACGUUCCCGGGCCUUGUACACACCGCCCGUCACAUCACGAAAGCCGGUUGUACUAGAAGCCGCCACAUCAACCCGCAAGGGAGAGAGGCGUCUAAGGUAUGGUCGGUGAUUGGGGUGAAGUCGUAACAAGGUAGCCGU
rnacentral:rRNA from 1 species